rfam:Stegodyphus mimosarum contig50908, whole genome shotgun sequence.
UCCUUCGUGGUGUAGAGGUCAGCACACUAGGCGUAUAUUCAAGAGGUCUGUGGUUCGAGUCCCGGCGAGGGCA